ACUCCCAACCCCUGUGAACAUACCACUUGUUGCCUCGGCGGAUCAGCCCGCUCCCGGUAAAACGGGACGGCCCGCCAGAGGACCCCUAAACUCUGUUUCUAUAUGUAACUUCUGAGUAAAACCAUAAAUAAAUCAAAACUUUCAACAACGGAUCUCUUGGUUCUGGCAUCGAUGAAGAACGCAGCAAAAUGCGAUAAGUAAUGUGAAUUGCAGAAUUCAGUGAAUCAUCGAAUCUUUGAACGCACAUUGCGCCCGCCAGUAUUCUGGCGGGCAUGCCUGUUCGAGCGUCAUUUCAACCCUCAAGCACAGCUUGGUGUUGGGACUCGCGUUAAUUCGCGUUCCCCAAAUUGAUUGGCGGUCACGUCGAGCUUCCAUAGCGUAGUAGUAAAACCCUCGUUACUGGUAAUCGUCGCGGCCACGCCGUUAAACCCCAACUUCUGAAUGUUGACCUCGGAUCAGGUAGGAAUACCCGCUGAACUUAAGCAUAUCAAUAAGCGGGGGAAAAGAAAAGGAGAUA
rnacentral:rRNA from 1 species